ACGCCCUGGGCCCCCGCCCCAGGCCGCCCCUGGCCCGGGGAGCCCAAGGCCGCCCGCAGGGGCGUGGGCAGGGGGGCCCGGGACCCCAUGGGCGCGCUCCUGGGAGAGCUGCUCCCCUGCAAAUUCCGUGAGUUCCUGGCCCAGCUGCGGGCCAAGUGCUCAGAGGAGCCGGAGCUGCAGGCGCAGACGCCCUCAGCUCCGAAACAUCAAAGUGGGGUGUCCGGGUCCUGGCGGGAUUCUCCACAGUGUCCCAGCUGCCAGUUCCUCCCAGACCUGAGGGACCAGUUGUCAGACUUCCAGGAGAGACUUGACAAGAUUUUGCGCUACCAGAAAUCUACCCUGGGACCCCUGAGGGGUGACUACUCAGAAUUCCCCACAGUCAAAAAGGACAGCCCGUUCUGUGGCACACCGGGCCCCGAGGCCAUGCCCACCCCCACCCUCUCCAGGGGAGGCCUGGGGCCCCGAAGGCGCAGCUGCCCUUUCCGGGUGCGGUUUGCGGACGAGUCACUCAGGGACAGCGCGCUGCGCUACUGGGAACGUCGCUGUGCAGAGUUGCCCAAACCGGGUGGCAGGAGGCGAGAGGAACCGGAGACCCGGCCUGGAGUAAUUACUGCGAGCCCCUGCCUUUCCUCUCUGUGCCCGGGUGCCCCUGGGCCGCCCGGCGUCAUCCCCAGCAGCGAGUCAUUGAGUGUUACUGUGUGCAGUCCCCAAACCCCACUUGGUCCAGCAGAACAUGACAGCCACCCCGCCAGCAGAGUCGGUGCCCAGGAUGGGGUUGGGGAGCCUCGGGAGGUGGCCGGACAGUUUGCCCAAAGCCGAGUCUCCCCGGGUCAAGGAAGAUGCCACGGCCAGCUCCGCAUGCUGGGCCCACCCUGGCCUGGUCACUGCAGUGAGGCUGUGGAGGGACCUCCCGGGCCUUCUGGACACCUGCAGCUUCCUGGAGCAGGUGGGCCGAUCACCCUCCUCCUGGAGCCAGAAGCCGGAACCCUUUCUGCCCGACCUGGUGCUGCAGUCAGUCUUGAAGCAUGGCUACCCUAAGGGCUACUAGCUUCUGUCUUCCACAACUCUGACUGCUCAUGGGUGCCCCAGCUGAGGGCUGCAUGCCGGCCAGGCAGUGAGGGUGUCCUGCCUCAGCCUACUAAUAAACACAUAUCCCAGGUGGCUGGGAUCUGCUGUUAGGUCUCACAUACAGUGCAAGCCUGCCUUGGGGGGUCUCCGGGGAUUCCUGGGGUGGAGGAGGAACAGCUGGGCCUGCCUAGGGCCUAUGCCAGGUCCUCCCUUCUGAUAUGAUACCCUGCACAACCUCCGACCUGGCACUGUGCAUCUGUCCGCUCAGAUCAGCCCAUACCUGAAGGAGGUGCCUGCCGUGCGGGGGGCCCGGGAAUGGUGAACUGUGCCCCCACCCCUGCCACACCUGUGCUGUGAUCCCUGGACAAAGUGGGCCCCCUCCUCACUGUCACUGGCGCCCAUCCCGGGCCGCUGGUCCAGCUCUUUAUCGCCACCCCCUGGCCAGGGAGGACACAGCCAGGGAAUCACGCAGGCACCUGGCUGGGCAGAAGCCUGGGUCACUCCAGGUGGCCGGGGCUGGACAGCGAUUGGUGGUGACCUUGGGCUGUGGAUGACCGAGGCUUUUUUGGAGUGGCGCCCUGGCUCCAGAAGAAAGGCGGUUGGUAGGCCGAGAAACGGUUUGGACAAAGCCAGCUUGGGGAGGGCUGGGAGCAGCGCCACGACCGCCCCCGCAGGCACACAUGGGGGCUGGAGCGGGAAUCGACUCCCCCUUCCCCCGACCCUUUGGCAUCUCCCUCAUCUCCGUCUCCGGAGUUUCACGCCCCGCGCCCCCCAGCCCAGGCUAUUUCUGGGGGUCCCCGAGGAGACUGGAUUGUUCCACACCAACUCCUGGGGCCUUCGCCCCCCGCGUGCCUCAGUUUCCCCCGCCCGCUCGCCCACCGGCUGCAGCGCCGCACCGCGCCCACGCGGGGGCAGUGUUGGCCUGGCUUUGGCGUCGCCGAAACUUCUCUGCUUCCCGCUCCAGGUCAGAAACUUUUCCCUUCCCGCCCCCGCAUCCCCUCCGCCGCGGGCUCCUGCACCUGCGCUGGCCGCGGCUGCACCUAGGAGAUCUGGGCGAACUUAUUGGUCGCUAUGCAACCCCCCAAGUGCACAGCCUUCGGGGCCCCACGCGCCCCGAGCCCGCAGGUCCCCCGCUCGCCGCGGAGGCUGUGACCAAAGGACGCCGAGCGCAGGAUCUACGCGCGGAUACCGCGCGCCACACCCGCCACACGGAGAGACACACACGACGACGCACACACAGACACCCCCAGACCCCUUCACAGACACCACGGCUCGGAACACAUCGCACCCCCAGUCCUGCCCUGUACCACUCACAGUCGGGGACCCCAGCCCCACGUUGGGGAUCCCUGCUUGCCUGGAAGACGCAAGCGCGUCCUUCAUGGCCCUCCGUAGUGCCUGUCCAUCACCAAGGUGACGCCCGCUGCGAGCAGAGCUGCAUCUGCCUGCGGAAGGGGGUGCGGAGGGAGCGAGCGCGCCAAGAGGCGGCCCCUCCUUGCCACCCAGCCCCGGGCCGCUCCAGGGCGUGAACAAGGCCCAGGGAGGCCCGGCUCUUUCUGAAGGUCACAGGCACGGAGUGUUGGAAUCGGCCUCCAGCUCUGCACUUCUGCCCCGGAGGCAGUGCCGUGGAGCUCCCUCCCGCAAG
ensembl:lincRNA chromosome unknown open reading frame, human C9orf50